rnacentral:sRNA from 1 species
GUUUGCACUCAUCGGGGAAGGAUGAGAAGCUUCGACCAAGGUUCGACUCGAGCGCCAGCGAGAGAGCGUUGCCGCAGGCAACGACCCGAAGGGCGAAGCGCGCAGCGACGAAUAAUCCUUCCCCCACCACCA